rnacentral:rRNA from 1 species
UACGUAGGGUGCAAGCGUUGUCCGGAAUUAUUGGGCGUAAAGAGCUCGUAGGCGGCUAGUCACGUCGGAUGUGAAAACCCGAGGCUCAACCUCGGGCCUGCAUUCGAUACGGGCUGGCUAGAGUACUGCAGGGAGACUGGAAUUCCUGGUGUAGCGGUGAAAUGCGCAGAUAUCAGGAGGAACACCCGUGGCGAAGGCGGCUCUCUGGAACGCA